UUUUACCUGAUUAAGUUUUGUAUAAAACAUAAACACCAACAAUCGAUUAUUAUCUGUGAUGAUCUCUAUAAGUGAAUUGUCAAUACAUUAAAAAUGGAAAACAAAGUGUUUAAACCAUUGGAAAAACCAGAUUCCCUUAAGGGCAAGAAAGGCGAAAGUAGAUAAUAUGUAUAUUGACAGGCGGAGCACCAAUACAAGAAAUUCAUUCCUCCGAGUUGGAAGAGCGGUCGAUGAAAACCUUAGGGAGACCGUGGUUGAUAGAUUGCCUGAUGUCCCAACUAUUGGAGUAGAGAACGACAUUAUAAUAAAUAUAGAUCCACAAAGUCCUUCAGUAAGCGAGAUGCCAUCAAUUUCACGUACUCGAAUGCAGACUUCACAAGAAAUGUUUGCUGGCAUGAUGGCUACGAUGAAGAGGAGAAGCGACGAAGAGGCAAAAUUUAGGGAGACAUCACAUUAAUGCUUCAAAAAUGUUGCGGAGUCUUUAAACAAUAUGGCAAGAGCUAUUUUAAAGCAGUCGGAAGCUGUUUAAAAAAAAUUAAAUAAAUAUAUGUGUAAGAAGAUA